UACGUAGGAGGCAAGCGUUGUCCGGAAUUACUGGGUGUAAAGCGUGCGUAGGUGGUUUGUUAAGUCUGUUGUGAAAGCCCCGGGCUCAACCUGGGAAUGGCAAUGGAUACUGGCAGGCUAGAGUGCGGUAGAGGGUAGUGGAAUUCCCGGUGUAGCGGUGAAAUGCGUAGAGAUCGGGAGGAACACCAGUGGCGAAGGCGGCUACCUGGACCAGCACUGACACUGAGGCACGAAAGCGUGGGGAGCAAACAGG
rnacentral:rRNA from 1 species